AUACAUGGCGGCAGGCUUACCAAUGCAGUCUCACGGUAGCAGGAGGAAGCUUGCUUUCUUGCUGACGAGUGGCGGACGGGUGAGUAAUGCUUGGGAAUCUGGCUUAUGGAGGGGGAUAACUACUGGAAACGGUAGCUAAUACCGCGUAAUAUCGGAAGAUUAAAGGGUGGGACCUUCGGGCCACUUGCCAUAAGAUGAGCCCAAGUGGGAUUAGGUAGUUGGUGGGGUAAAGGCCUACCAAGCCGACGAUCUCUAGCUGGUCUGAGAGGAUGGCCAGCCACACUGGAACUGAGACACGGUCCAGACUCCUACAGGAGGCAGCAGUGGGGAAUAUUGCACAAUGGGGGGAACCCUGAUGCAGCCAUGCCGCGUGAAUGAAGAAGGCCUUCGGGUUGUAAAGUUCUUUCGGUGAUGAGGAAGGCAGGUAUUUUAAUAGAAUGCUUGAUUGACGUUAGUCACAGAAGAAGCACCGGCUAACUCCGUGCCAGCAGCCGCGGUAAU
rnacentral:rRNA from 1 species